rnacentral:rRNA from 1 species
UGGGGAAUCUUCCGCAAUGGACGAAAGUCUGACGGAGCAACGCCGCGUGAGUGAUGAAGGUCUUCGGAUUGUAAAGCUCUGUUAAUCGGGACGAAAGAGUUCUGUGUGAAUAAUGCAGAAAAGUGACGGUACCGGAAUAGAAAGCCACGGCUAACUACGUGCCAGCAGCCGCGGUAAUACGUAGGUGGCAAGCGUUGUCCGGAAUUAUUGGGCGUAAAGCGCGCGCAGGCGGCCUAUCCAGUCUGUCUUAAAAGUUCGGGGCUCAACCCCGUGAUGGGAUGGAAACUAGUAGGCUAGAGUAUCGGAGAGGAAAGCGGAAUUCCUAGUGUAGCGGUGAAAUGCGUAGAUAUUAGGAAGAACACCAGUGGCGAAGGCGGCUUUCUGGACGAAAACUGACGCUGAGGCGCGAAAGCCAGGGGAGCGAACG